CCGACAAGUACUGUAAAGCUUAUCAAUUAAUAUUAGUGUCUUUACAUUUGUAGAGACACUAAUACUAGUUAGUGCCGAAAGUUAUUAAACCGAAUGGAUUUAUAGUAGGUAAUUAAGUUGAAUUGACAACUUCCCUCAAGUGCUAUAUGCCGUAGGGUGGAAAAACAACGUGCCACUGAUCA
rnacentral:ncRNA from 1 species